GUCCCAGCUCGGAUUGUAGUCUGCAACCCGACUACAUGAAGCUGGAAUCGCUAGUAAUCGCAGGUCAGCAUACUGCGGUGAAUACGUUCCCGGGUCUUGUACACACCGCCCGUCACACCAUGGGAGCCGGAAAUGCCCGAAGCCAGUGACCCAACCUUAGGGAGGGAGCUGUCGAAGGUGGAGCCGGUAACUGGGGUGAAGUCGUAACAAGGUACC
rnacentral:rRNA from 1 species